rnacentral:rRNA from 1 species
GACGAACGCUGGCGGCGUGCUUAACACAUGCAAGUCGAACGGAAAGGCCCUGCUUUUGUGGGGUGCUCGAGUGGCGAACGGGUGAGUAACACGUGAGUAACCUGCCCUUGACUUUGGGAUAACUUCAGGAAACUGGGGCUAAUACCGGAUAGGAGCUCCUGCUGCAUGGUGGGGGUUGGAAAGUUUCGGCGGUUGGGGAUGGACUCGCGGCUUAUCAGCUUGUUGGUGGGGUAGUGGCUUACCAAGGCUUUGACGGGUAGCCGGCCUGAGAGGGUGACCGGACAGAUGGGGACGGAGGCACGCUCGAGAGGGGGAGGGGGGGGGUGGGUGGGGAAGUGGGGGUGAGGGGGGGGGGCCGCAGCCAGGAGAGGCGGGUGGGGGGUGAGGGCGUGUGGGUGGUAAACGGCUUUGGGGGAGGAGGAGGGGGGGGGGAGGGGAGUGGGAAAAGAAGCACGGUCUGACUACGUGCUGGCAGCGGAUUAUAGUCGAAUAGAAGGCGGCUGAAC